UACGUAGGGCGCAAGCGUUGUCCGGAAUCACUGGGCGUAAAGCGCACGUAGGCGGACUUGUCAGUCAGGGGUGAAAUCCCGGGGCUCAACCUCGGAACUGCCUCUGAUACAGCAAGUCUUGAGUCCGGAAGAGGUGGGUGGAAUUCCUAGUGUAGAGGUGAAAUUCGUAGAUAUUAGGAAGAACACCGGUGGCGAAGGCGGCCCACUGGUCCGGUACUGACGCUGAGGUGCGAAAGCGUGGGGAGCAAACAGG
rnacentral:rRNA from 1 species